rfam:Citrus clementina cultivar Clemenules unplaced genomic scaffold scaffold_3, whole genome shotgun sequence.
GUAGAGGCAGUGAUGUUCAGAACUACCUAUUUUAUGAGGGGGAUUAUCCCCCUUGUGAUUAUAAACUACCAAUGGAUCCUUCUGAGCCUUCUC